rnacentral:rRNA from 1 species
UGUAAAGUUCAAGCUCCGAUUAUGAGGGCGAAACCGCGAAUGGCUCAUUAAAUCAGUCAUAAUCUACUUGAUUGUUUAAAGUUUAUAUGGAUAACUGUGGUAAUUCUAGAGCUAAUACAUGCACAAAGGGGGCGACUUUUUCACGAAAGAAGCUCCGCGUUUAUUAGACUAAGACCGAUGUGUUUCCUCACGGAAACUCUCUCUGUUAAGGUGACUCUGAGUAAAUAAUGGGUGAAAGCCCAUGUUGCUGACCAGGAUUUAAAGGUUCCUCACGGGGCCUCCUGGCAAAUCAAUCGUGUGUCUGCUCUAUCAACUGUGGAUGGUAGGAUAAUCGCCUACCAUGGUGGUGACGGGUAACGGGGAGUUAGGGCUCGACUCCGGAGAACAAGCCUGAGAAACGGCUAGUAGGACUAAGGUCUGCAGCAGGCGCGAAACUUACACAAUGCUAGAUUAAAAUUAGCGAUGUAGUGAAGAAAAAUAACGAUGUACUUCCAUUUAAACAUGGUAGUACAAUUGGAAUGAGACGACUACAAAUCAGUUAGUCGAGUAACAAAUGGAGGGCAAGUCUGGUGCCAGCAGCCGCGGUAAUUCCAGCUCCAUUAGCAUACAUUAAAGUUGUUGCGGUUAAAAAGCUCGUAGUUGAAUUUUUAGCGGGCUCUAUUGGGGUGCGUCCGUUAAGCAUAUUUAUUUAUGUGGGCGUAUUUCCCCGUUAGGAACCCGCUGUUUCGUCACUUAAUCGAGUGCGAAGCGGGCCGAUAUAGAUGUUGGAGAAUUUACUUCUUUCGUAUAUGUCGGCAUGUUUACCUUGAGAAAAUUAGAGUGCUCACAGCAGGCAGUUGGGGUGUAAAAGCUCCUUUAAUGCUUGAAUAAUGUUGCAUGGAAUAAUAGAAUACGGCCUCGGUUCUAUUCUGUUGGUCUUAUAGAACAACAAACAAGUUGGUUGUUUAAGUUUACUUGUUGUCGGGCGGGUUAUACCCCCGUACCUUUAAACUGAACCAACUGAGGCAAUGGUUAAAAGAAAUAGUCGCGGCGGCAUCAGUACUGCAUCGUGAGAGGUGAAAUUCUUAGACCGAUGCAAGACUAACUGAAGCGAAAGCGUUUGCCGAGGAUAUUUUCAUUAAUCAAGAACGAAAGUUAGAGGUUCGAAGGCGAUCAGAUACCGCCCUAGUUCUAACCAUAAACGUUGCCAACUAGCAAUUGGGUUGCGAUUCCUUUAAUCAAAGCUUAAAACCCUUUGAUCAUUAUGAUCCACCCAGCGGCUCUCGUAGGGAAACCAAAGUGUUUGGGUUCCGGGGGAAGUAUGAUUGCAAAGUUGAAACUUAAAGGAAUUGACGGAAGGGCACCACCAGGAGUGGAGCCUGCGGCUUAAUUUGACUCAACACGGGGAAACUUACUAGAUUAGAACUCUGGAAUGAUUGACAGAUUGAUAGCUCUUUCUUGAUUCAGAGGAUGGUGGUGCAUGGCCGUUCUUGAUUCGUAUUCCGAAACGUCUGCUUAAUUGCGAUAACGAGUGAGACCUCAGCCAACUAACUAGUCGUGCCUCGCGCUGUUUGGACAUCAAAGCCUUAGCUUUCGAAAGUUUGCUCAGGCGUCCUCUGCUCGGAGACGGACUUCUUAGAGGGAUAAACGGUGUUUUAGCCGUAAGAAACGAGGCAAUAACAGGUCUGUGAUGCCCUUAGAUACUCUAGGCCGCACGCGUGCUACAAUGGCGUGUGCAGAAAGCUUGUUCGAGGUUUGCCUUAAGAGAACUGGUCGGUUGGUGGUGGUGAGCAGCAAUGUUUGUCAUUAUCGCCGGAGAAGUAACUUUUGUGCCAGGCCGAGAGAAACCGUAGUCGAAAGAUUACGGCAAUCAGAAAUACACGCCGUGAUUUGGGAUUGGGGAUUGCAAUUGUUGCCCAUGAACGAGGAAUUCCCAGUAAGCGCAAUUCAUCAUAUUGCGUUGAUUACGUCCCUGCCCUUUGUACACACCGCCCGUCGCUACUACCGAUUGGAAGUUUUAGUGAGGCAUUUGGACUUGCCAUCCGUUUGAGGGGCAACCCUUAUUGGAAGGCGGGGAAGUCUGUCGAACUCAAAUUUCUAGAGGAAGUAAAAGUCGUAACAAGGUUUCCGU